rnacentral:rRNA from 1 species
UACGUAGGGUGCAAGCGUUGUCCGGAAUUAUUGGGCGUAAAGAGCUCGUAGGCGGUCUGUCGCGUCGGAUGUGAAAACCCAGGGCUCAACCCUGGGCCUGCAUUCGAUACGGGCAGACUAGAGUUCGGUAGGGGAGACUGGGAUUCCUGGUGUAGCGGUGAAAUGCGCAGAUAUCAGGAGGAACACCGGUGGCGAAGGCGGGUCUCUGGGCCGAAACUGACGCUGAGGAGCGAAAGCGUGGGGAGCAAACAGG